UACGGGGGGGGCAAGCGUUGUUCGGAAUUACUGGGCGUAAAGGGCUCGUAGGCGGCCAACUAAGUCGGACGUGAAAUCCCUCGGCUUAACCGGGGAACUGCGUCCGAUACUGGUUGGCUUGAAUCCGGGAGAGGGAUGCGGAAUUCCAGGUGUAGCGGUGAAAUGCGUAGAUAUCUGGAGGAACACCGGUGGCGAAGGCGGCAUCCUGGACCGGCAUUGACGCUGAUGAGCGAAAGCCAGGGGAGCAAACGGG
rnacentral:rRNA from 1 species